rnacentral:tRNA from 1 species
UUCAGCGUGGCGGAAACUGGUAGACGCAUCGCACUGUUAAUGCGACGCCGAAAGGCUUGUAGGUUCGAACCCUACCGCUGAAGCCA